rfam:Winogradskyella sp. PC-19 genome.
UCAUUUCUAUAUUUGACAUCAAAUGAGAAAACAACAAACAUGGUGGUGGUAUUUUACUAACGAAACGUUCGUGAAAUAGUCCAUUGUGUUAAUUGAAAUACUAAAAGGCUUGUC